CCUAAAUCCGCCGCAGACGGUCUUCUCCCGGCAAAGGGAGGAGCCAAGAGGGAAUGCGGUGCGGGAGAGAACAAAUCCCAAAUCCGCGGCUGUCCCCGCAACUGUGAGCGACGAGCCUCAGCCGAAAACCACUGGGAUGAUCCCGGGAAGGCGGCAUACAGGGCGAUGACGCGCGAGCCAGGAGACCUGCCGUCUGAGACUUUAAGUA
rnacentral:ncRNA from 2 species